AUUUCCCUUGUGCUAUCCAGGAAGGGCUAAUGAUUGGAAGGAAAACGUCAGCCCUUCUCAAGCAGCAAAAUAACAGCACCUUCUGUUUCCCCUGAAUCCACAUGAGUGUGGUGCUGUGAAAGAGGUCGCUGGCUGGUGUUGAGGGUGCCUCCGUGCCAGGGAGCACUCAAAGCUACAGACAUUCACCUGCGAAUGGUCAUGGACCUGACCGGCUGUUUUCUCUGCAUUUCUCCCCUGGCUAAAGAUGUGUUGCUGGGUAAAGUGAUUCUCAGACUUGACCUCCUGCUGCCCUGCUCCCACCCUGGAAUGGAGCAGGUGCCAGGUGGACAUGGCUGCAGGUGCUGUGGGAGGUGAGUCGUGCAGCCACAGGGGAAAACGUUUCAGGAUCCAGUGUCCGUCCUUCAAAGUUGCUUCUAACAAGGAAACCGCUGCCUAAUCACCGGCACCUGUCAAAUUGGAAUCUCAGCCAUCAGCCUGUAAGCUGGAUCUGGGAGGCUUUGUUUCUGGAGACUUCUGCUUUCUUUGGAAGGCAGGCUCAAACCUGAUCCUCUAUACAACGGUCCCGAGUUAAAUCUGGCCAGUCUGAAAAGCCAGCCAUGCUGGCGAGUGCAUGAAAAUCCUGCUUCAAAGGCAGAGAGCCGGGCUCCACGCGACAUUCCGCACCUUCCUCAGGGUGGCUUCUCCUUCUCCCUGGCCUCGUACCCUAGAAC
rnacentral:lncRNA from 10 species